AGAUUAUCACAGAUAUUUAAGCUCUCGAUAUCUCCAUAUUUGCUGAGCUCCUCAAAGAGGUCCUGAUAAAAAUCUUCGAAGUGGUCUUGGAUCUUGCGGGGGUCGAGGGACUGAGACUGCGCCUGAGAAUCGACGCCAGGAGUGAGCAUGUCGGGGCGCUGGUACAUGUUGGAGAGGAGAAGGGUAGGGCUGAUGCUGGGCUUGGUGUGGAGCCUAGAGCAGCGAUCUCCAUGCCUGCAGGCUCCGAUCUUGAAGUAAAAAGGGCAGUUCACUCUGUCCUUCUCUGUUCCGAAUAUGGAAGCUAAGUGCUCCGCCAUGAUUUUC
rnacentral:misc_RNA from 1 species